rnacentral:rRNA from 1 species
UACGUAGGGUGCAAGCGUUGUCCGGAAUUAUUGGGCGUAAAGAGCUCGUAGGCGGUUUGUCGCGUCGGCUGUGAAAACUCGGGGCUCAACCCCGAGCCUGCAGUCGAUACGGGCAAACUAGAGUGUGGUAGGGGAGACUGGAAUUCCUGGUGUAGCGGUGAAAUGCGCAGAUAUCAGGAGGAAUACCGGCGGCGAAGGCGGGUCUCUGGGCCAUAACUGACGCUGAGGAGCGAAAGCGUGGGGAGCGAACAGG